rnacentral:rRNA from 2 species
AUGGACGAAAGUCUGAUGGAGCAACGCCGCGUGAGUGAAGAAGGGUUUCGGCUCGUAAAACUCUGUUGUUAAAGAAGAACAUAUCUGAGAGUAACUGUUCAGGUAUUGACGGUAUUUAACCAGAAAGCCACGGCUAACUACGUGCCAGCAGCCGCGGUAAUACGUAGGUGGCAAGCGUUGUCCGGAUUUAUUGGGCGUAAAGCGAGCGCAGGCGGUUUUUUAAGUCUGAUGUGAAAGCCUUCGGCUUAACCGAAGAAGUGCAUCGGAAACUGGGAAACUUGAGUGCAGAAGAGGACAGUGGAACUCCAUGUGUAGCGGUGAAAUGCGUAGAUAUAUGGAAGAACACCAGUGGCGAAGGCGGCUGUCUGGUCUGUAACUGACGCUGAGGCUCGAAAGUAUGGGUAGCAAACAGGAUUAGAUACCCUGGUAGUCCAUACCGUAAACGAUGAAUGCUAAGUGUUGGAGGGUUUCCGCCCUUCAGUGCUGCAGCUAACGCAUUAAGCAUUCCGCCUGGGGAGUACGGCCGCAAGGCUGAAACUCAAAGGAAUUGACGGGGGCCCGCACAAGCGGUGGAGCAUGUGGUUUAAUUCGAAGCUACGCGAAGAACC